AGGGUCACCCCCUAUCACAUCAUGGGACGGAAUACACACGGCGAAAAGUGAGUGCAUUAACGCCUCUGCCCACGCCUGGAAGCAUAAAAGGUUGAGUGUGUUUGAAGCUAACUGCCUAGUUCACAUGUUUAGUAUAAAACUAAUUUUGAUAAUUACUGUAGUUAUGAACCGAAAUUAAAACCAACUUUUAAUAACAAGCGAUCGCAAAUAUUGAAAUACCUUCGAAACGAUUAACGGUUUUUACAUUUUUCUCCUAUAGUUGGGUAAUAGUAUCUAAUUAAAUAUAAACUCAGGUGCAACUGUUGACCGAGUAAAUAGUUUGAAAGUGUUUAUUUACUAUGUGAUAAACGACAUCUAAGUACGUAUUGGCGUGACCCGUUUUGAUAUUAGUGUGUACACUUUACGUAGUAGUAACACUUUACUGAUAAAAAGAUAUCCUUAUCUGUUCACUUCAAUUACUACCGAUAUGGAUACGAACAGGUACUUUUAAGGGCAAGUGUUCUUUAAAGUUAAAUUACUAAUCAUUAUGAUGUCGAUAGUAGAGGCAUUUAUUUAGUGUUUAAACAUAGUUUCAAUAUUAAAAUGUAAUGAAUUAAAUUCUGUGAACCUUAACGUUAUACAUUAUUUAGAUUCCGUCAAUAUUAACUCUACCAGUUUGGAAAGCAAUUGUCACCAAAGAAGAAAGGACAAGAAACUCUUUGUUGCUUUACAAAAUCAGUUUAAGGGUGCUUUGUGACAUCUACACCAAGGAAUUUAAAAUACCUACUAAAAGAACAAUGAAGCAGUAAAGAACAAAAAGUCCUUGAAGUUGCUGCAGGAAAAGGAAGCUUAACAAGGUUUGACUAACAACAACAAAACAAUUUAUUAAAACCAAUAUUGCAUUUUAUUAUUUAAUUUAUUAUAAUAUUAUGCAGUUAA